rnacentral:rRNA from 1 species
AGUGAACGCUGGCGGUAGGCCUAACACAUGCAAGUCGAACGGCAGCACAGUAAGAGCUUGCUCUUACGGGUGGCGAGUGGCGGACGGGUGAGGAAUACAUCGGAAUCUACUUUUUCGUGGGGGAUAACGUAGGGAAAAUUACGCUAAUACCGCAUACGACCUACGGGUGAAAGCAGGGGAUCUUCGGACCUUGCGCGAUUGAAUGAGCCGAUGUCGGAUUAGCUAGUUGGCGGGGUAAAGGCCCACCAAGGCGACGAUCCGUAGCUGGUCUGAGAGGAUGAUCAGCCACACUGGAACUGAGACACGGUCCAGACUCCUACGGGAGGCAGCAGUGGGGAAUAUUGGACAAAGGGCGCAAGCCUGAUCCAGCCAUACCGCGUGGGUGAAGAAGGCCUUCGGGUUGUAAAGCCCUUUUGUUGGGAAAGAAAAGCAGCAGGUUAAUACCCCGCUGUUCUGACGGUACCCAAAGAAUAAGCACCGGCUAACUUCGUG